rnacentral:rRNA from 1 species
GAUGAACGCUGGCGGCGUGCCUAAUACAUGCAAGUCGAGCGAACGGACGAGAAGCUUGCUUCUCUGAUGUUAGCGGCGGACGGGUGAGUAACACGUGGAUAACCUACCUAUAAGACUGGGAUAACUUCGGGAAACCGGAGCUAAUACCGGAUAAUAUUUUGAACCGCAUGGUUCAAAAGUGAAAGACGGUCUUGCUGUCACUUAUAGAUGGAUCCGCGCUGCAUUAGCUAGUUGGUAAGGUAACGGCUUACCAAGGCAACGAUGCAUAGCCGACCUGAGAGGGUGAUCGGCCACACUGGAACUGAGACACGGUCCAGACUCCUACGGGAGGCAGCAGUAGGGGAUCUUCCGCAAUGGGCGAAAGCCUGACGGAGCAACGCCGCGUGAGUGAUGAAGGUCUUCGGAUCGUAAAACUCUGUUAUUAGGGAAGAACAUAUGUGUAAGUAACUGUGCACAUCUUGACGGUACCUAAUCAGAAAGCCACGGCUAACUACGUGCCAGCAGCCGCGGUAAUACGUAGGUGGCAAGCGUUAUCCGGAAUUAUUGGGCGUAAAGCGCGCGUAGGCGGUUUUUUAAGUCUGAUGUGAAAGCCCACGGCUCAACCGUGGAGGGUCAUUGGAAACUGGAAAACUUGAGUGCAGAAGAGGAAAGUGGAAUUCCAUGUGUAGCGGUGAAAUGCGCAGAGAUAUGGAGGAACACCAGUGGCGAAGGCGACUUUCUGGUCUGUAACUGACGCUGAUGUGCGAAAGCGUGGGGAUCAAACAGGAUUAGAUACCCUGGUAGUCCACGCCGUAAACGAUGAGUGCUAAGUGUUAGGGGGUUUCCGCCCCUUAGUGCUGCAGCUAACGCAUUAAGCACUCCGCCUGGGGAGUACGACCGCAAGGUUGAAACUCAAAGGAAUUGACGGGGACCCGCACAAGCGGUGGAGCAUGUGGUUUAAUUCGAAGCAACGCGAAGAACCUUACCAAAUCUUGACAUCCUUUGACAACUCUAGAGAUAGAGCCUUCCCCUUCGGGGGGGCAAAGUGACAGGUGGUGCAUGGUUGUCGUCAGCUCGUGUCGUGAGAUGUUGGGUUAAGUCCCGCAACGAGCGCAACCCUUAAGCUUAGUUGCCAUCAUUAAGUUGGGCACUCUAAGUUGACUGCCGGUGACAAACCGGAGGAAGGUGGGGAUGACGUCAAAUCAUCAUGCCCCUUAUGAUUUGGGCUACACACGUGCUACAAUGGACAAUACAAAGGGCAGCGAAACCGCGAGGUCAAGCAAAUCCCAUAAAGUUGUUCUCAGUUCGGAUUGUAGUCUGCAACUCGACUACAUGAAGCUGGAAUCGCUAGUAAUCGUAGAUCAGCAUGCUACGGUGAAUACGUUCCCGGGUCU